rnacentral:lncRNA from 12 species
CGACCGGCGGUGUGUGGCGUGAUCCGCGAUGAUUACAGUGGAAUCGAAUUCCUGAAAUAAUGUGAUGCAUCUGUGAAGAAGGCAAAUCCAAUUCUAAGGUGCUCCGGGGCAAACAUUUCCAAGAGAAGUAAGGAAGUUUUUGUGCCACUGUACAAGGUCCCACACCAAACUCAUCUGGAAAAAUGUUCUAGUCAGCCAUAUACAAGAAGAGAAAUUGAAAUGAGAAGAGCUACAUAUAAGAGCAACAAGGGACAUCAGGAGAAUGGGGAGUUCAUACUUGGAGAGGACUCUGGUAGAACAUCACAUACAGUUUGUAUGAGCAAAAUGAAGAUUGAUGUAUGGGGGUGAGUCUAAAUGUUCCCAGGCAGCUGUCCAGCCCAGCACCAACAUCACUGCUUCAGAGAACAUGUAGAAACUUCACUAACAAUUAUUACACAAUAAACUCUCC